CACAUGCUCAAGACAUGUUUGUUUCCCUUCACAAAUUUUAAGAUUUUCUUGCUGCUGAAGGGAGUGUCUAGUGUCUGGCAACCAUUGCUCUCUUCUGUACUUUCAUGAGUUUAACUACUUAAAAUACUUCCUAUAAGCAGAACCAUGCAGUGUUUGUCCUUCUGUGACUACCUUAUUUCACUUAUCAUAAUGUCUUCCAGGUUCAUCCAUAUUGAUGCAUAUGGCAGGACUUCCUUCUGUUUACAACUGAAUAAUAUACCAUCGUAUUUAUUUACCUUAUUUUCUUUAUCCAUUCAUCAUUGAUGAAUAUUUAGGUUGUUUAUAAAUCUUGCCUGUUGUGAAUAAUGCUGCUGUGAACAUAGGAGUGAAGAUCCUGAUUUUAAUUCAGAAGAUUGCCAGAUCAUAUAAUAGUUCUAUUUUUAACUUUUUGAGGACCCUUUAUACUGUUUUCUAUAGGGCUGCACAGUUCUAUAUUCUAUCAACAGUGUACAAUACAAACAUUCCAAUUUCCCCACAUUCUUUCCGACAAUGACAACAAUAAUAGUAAUUAUUAUUUUGACAAUAGCCAUACUAACAGGUGGUGAGGUGAUAAUGUGGUUUUGGUUUGCAUUUCCCUGAUGAUUAGUGCUGUUUAGCAUCUUUUCAUAUUCUUGUUGGUCAUUUGUAUGUCUUCUUUAGAUAAAUGUCUGUUCAAGUCCUUUGCCCAUUUUUAAAAUUUGGCUUUUUUUGUUUUUUGCUGUUUUUGCUGUUUUGUUGUAGGACUGCCUUAUAUAUUUUGGAAAUUAACUGCUUAUCACAUACAGUGCAUAUAUUUCUCCCAUUCUGGUGAAGAAUGCAUGAUUCCUUUCCAUCUGCCUCCCUCCAGCAAGGCAAUCAUCAGGUACAAAGAAAGAAGCUCAGGGGAAACACACUGUCACUCUAUGAAUACAUUUAAGAAAAGAAAUGAAAAAGAGAAAAUGAAAUGAAGAAAAUUGAAUAGUUGGACCGGUUAACAGACUGAAAUACGACUGAAAUUACUUCGUUUUCCCCUGCAAGUCAAACUCUGAAGCGCU